ensembl:antisense 4933427E11Rik RIKEN cDNA 4933427E11 gene
AACGACGAUCAUCCGGCUCUGGGGUGAGCCUCCAAGUCAGUCGGCGGAGGCGGCGGCCCAGCCCCUCACGGCCCAGCCCCACUCACCUGCGGACCCCGUGCCGCCGCUACCGGCCGGAAACGCCAGCCACGCAGCUCUCCACCGGUCCGCUCCUCUCGGCCUUCCCCGACCCACUUCCGGGGGACGCUCUAGACCAUCGGGAGACUUCUGUCUCGGUGGUGUCUAGGUCGCUAAGGUGCGACCAAGCAAGGAAGCGGUCCGGGCCCGGCGGCUUAGCCUCCGGUAGAACAACGAAAGCCACAGGACGCCUCGCGUUUCCUGAGGAACGGAAUCCUCGAGCGGAGCGUCCGAUCCUGGGAGCCAUGGCCCGGAGAGCACGGACGGGAGGCUGGGUCCACCGCCACCUUGCGGUGGGAGGUACCCAAGGCCCGGUUGCCAGGACCUCCUUUCCAUCCUUGUGGACCCUUCUUUUAGCUAGAAUUCAAAACGUGUCCAAUUUAGACGAUGUUGAUGAUGAGAUUUGAAUCGUAGUAUAUAGCGUAGAGGCUUUGAGAGACAUUGAGAUGAGAUGAACCAUUUUGUAUGUUGAACAUACCUGAAUUCGAUCAGUUGUGAGGGUGCCCAGUCUCUAGUUCCCUGAACCUGCGAGUUCAAGAGCUGAAAGGAACUUGGCAGGUAUAACCAAAAGAAAGUCGUCGAAGUGUAAAGUUUAUUCUGUCUGUAAGCACAACGGUUCGUUGUUAAAGGAUCGAGUAAGAGAAGACACUCCAAAGGAAGACUAUGAACUGACAACAGAGCCUGAGCCUUGUGCUUUGAAGAUGGAGGAAGACUACCAUUCAAGAAUUGCAAGUGGUUUACAGGAGCUCCAAAAGGCGGGGAAACUUCGGACUACAGACCUGUUGGCACCCUGAUCUCAGUACCCUUGGUCCUCAGAAGUGGGAGAAAACAUAAUUGUGUUGUUUUGGGACCUCCACGCAGGGGUGAUUAGUCACAGCUCCAUAGAAACACAGAUUGUGGAAACUUGUUCCUCCUUAAUUCACACCCUUGCCUGAGUACCCAGGACCGGUCUGCCUGUUCUUCCCCGCCCUCUCUUGUUAAAUCUCUUGCUCUCUCCAUUCACAUUCCCCAGGGAUCUCCAGUACAAGAUUUUUAAUAAUACCAAGGAAGGCUGGGUGGCUCCCAAAUCCAUGUCUCCUUCCAGAAUCUC